UACGUAGGGGGCUAGCGUUGUCCGGAUUUAUUGGGCGUAAAGAGCGUGUAGGCGGCCAGGUAGGUCUGGUGUGAAAACUCGAGGCUCAACCUCGAGACGCCGAUGGAAACCAUUUGGCUAGAGUCCGGAAGAGGAGAGUGGAAUUCCUGGUGUAGCGGUGAAAUGCGCAGAUAUCAGGAAGAACACCCGUGGCUAAGGCGGCUCUCUAGUACGGUACUGACGCUGAGACGCGAAAGCGUGGGGAGCGAACAGG
rnacentral:rRNA from 1 species